rnacentral:snRNA from 2 species
GUGCUCACUUUGGCAGCACAUAUACUAAAAUUGGAAUGAUAUAGAGAAGACUAGCAUGGCUCCUGCACAAGGAUGACAUGCAAAUUCAUGAAAAGGAGAAACAAAGU